rnacentral:rRNA from 1 species
AACGAACGCUGGCGGCAGGCCUAAUACAUGCAAGUCGAGCGCUCUAGCAAUAGAGAGCGGCGCACGGGUGCGUAACGCGUGGGAAUGUACCUCUAGGUGCGGAACAACGUCGGGAAACUGACGCUAAUACCGCAUAAUAUCUCCGGAUCAAAGAUUUAUCGCCUAGGGAUCAGCCCGCGUUGGAUUAGCUAGUUGGUGAGGUAAUGGCUCACCAAAGCGACGAUCCAUAGCUGGUCUGAGAGGAUGAUCAGCCACACUGGGACUGAGACACGGCCCAGACUCCUACGGGAGGCAGCAGUAAGGAAUAUUGGACAAUGGAGGAAACUCUGAUCCAGCCAUGCCGCGUGAGUGAAGAAGGCCUCGGUUG